GCCGAAAUGGCGGAACUGGUAGACGCGCUGGACUCAAAAUCCAGUGACCCAAAAGUUGUGUGGGUUCGAGUCCCACUUUCGGCA
rnacentral:tRNA from 1 species